CCCGCCCCCAAGCGAGCAACUGUCAAGGAGCCACCGUUCGAGGGGCGGUUUUGAGCCCACGGUCGGCGGAGCGGUGGUCGUCCACUUGGAGAGUGAGGGUUAUCUUUCCAAACACAGAAAGCUCACCACUCUGGUUUAAAGCCGGGACGGCUCUCCCACGCCCACGCCUUUACUACUCGAUUCGCUGAAACCUCCUCACAGAGUUCACGGCCGAAACAGAGCAACGGAAAGGAGUGACGACCGUAUAAGCAUGUGGAGUUGUGACUGCAAAAUCUCGAAGAAUGUAGUGUUGUGUGCUCGAAUCCAUCGCGUCCAAGUGAAUUAUCCUCCGACCUUUCUCGAGGGUCAAAUUUGGUUGACUAUUACCAGCCAAAACGUUUCUAAAUGUUUUCGCGCUAAAAACGAUCAGUCAAGCGCAUGAGCAAACGCCCGGAGGGUGAGGGGGCCGUCCGCUGUUCGCGCAGGCAGAUCUCGCGAUGUUUGGGCCAGUCAGGGGAGUAGUAAUGUUUUUGGGGUGCUUUGAGGCCUUUUUACGCCCCCCUCUCCUCCAGCCCCGAUGGAUUAAUGCUGUCGUCAAGUAAAAAAGAUCAAGGCUCCGCGGCGAGAACAAACGAGGCUAGAAGUAGGCGACACGCCAGCGGCAGGUCUCCGGGGCCGAGGAAGGGCUUCUCUACGAGGCCCCGAAGGCCGCACAAGUUCUUCAGAAACAAAAGCCAGAAAUCUGUCGUGGAAGAGCUUCAUUAUCAACGUAAUGAAGGUGAUAGCACCACUCUGACCAUAACUAAGAAGUGGUAAGCACCAACAGUACUAAACCCAAAAGCGUAGGUCGUAUUUAGGUACCUGUUAAAAAUAUGGACUCCUGUAGUGGAAAAGAUGCAAAUAACCCUAACCCUAAGCCCAUCUUGCUCUAAUUUCGAGCAAUACCUGCGUCGUUAAGAAUGACUAUUGAAAAAAAAAAAAAAAAAGACUCUCGAAGCAGAGUCAAAAAGGGAGCCAUGCAAAUUUUGAAACUAAAAACAGAGAUGACUCUAGAAGCAAUAGCCAGAAAAAGCACAAACCAACAAGCAAAUUUUUUUUAAUGGUUUUAAGUUCCCUUCAGAAUCAGUUUCAGAUGGCUUAGAAGGCUAUGAUACUUACAAAAUGAGAAGAUCUGGUGAAACUUUGUGUUAUAGAUAUGACUGGAUCCGUUUGAAAACAAAGAAAAAGCAGGCAAACUGAUUUUUAAAAACUAUCUUUAUGGAAGAAUUUCCAGUGAUGCGUUUUAAUGUGCUCAAAACAGCCUUAAGUAACUGGUAGACUCAGCUAAACCUGGAUGUUUACCUUAGAGUUGGAUAAUAGCAUAGAUGUUAACAAUUUGGAAAUUUUGUUGGACUCUGUUAGGUUUUAAAUGAUGGAUUUGAAGACUUUAAUUUGUAAUAGAAGAAACUUUCUACAAAAGGAAGGUGAAAUUUUUAGGUAGCAUGAAAUUAAGUAGAGGAAAAGUAUGGACAUGUGUGCAGAUGGGGCCAGAUUUUGAAGGCUCUGGACACUUCCAGCAUGGUUCACAGAGCCUUCACCUUAAAAAAUCAGCCUCUGGGUUUUUCUUAUUAUGUUCGAUAUGAUAGUAAAAUUUAGUAAAUGUAGCAAUUUGGAUACUUACCCUUUAAGGCAACAAUUUGUACCAAAGUCACAAGGAACUUUAAAAUCCUGCUCCGUUAUCUAGAGGUACACUCAUUUGGUUGAAGUAAGGUGAUAGCCAGUUUUCUAAGCCAGGACUGAAUUGACAUUUUCUUCCUGAAGGAAAAGAAACGUAGAUAAGCUGAAUUGAUUCUUUGUUCGCCUAUUAAGGUGAUUAAGACUGACUCAUAAACACUACUUACUUUGUCAAGGCAGUCAACAACUGUAAAAGAAACUGAAUGCUUUUAUUGCACAUGAUGAGAUGGUUCUAAUGGAAAUAGAGAAUGGGAAUUGGAUGAAGAGUUGAUAUAGAACUAUGAAUCCUUUGAGACUACUGGUUCAUUUACAUGUGAUGAAAAUGUUAGUGUAAGACUGGUAAGUGGUCAAAUAAAACUUUGUCUUUGUUCACUGAAAAAAAAAAUCCUUUGAUGAGUAAAAGAAACUCACUACUGAAUUGGUUAUCCAUUCAGUCUGUCAUACGACUCAGGAAAUAGACUUCCAGAAUUUCCACAAUCAGUAGCCAAAAAAGUUAUCCAUACCAUUUCUUUAGCAGCAUUCUGAGCAUGCUCUCCUGUAAUUACCCUGACAUUGUAAAGCAGUGAAAAAACUGCCGCCAUUUGUGUCCACAUAUUUAUGUAAACCUGGGUUCUUGAAUUAUUGUGACCCCAAGAUAAGAAAUUGCUCAUCAGUGAAUCUUAUAUGCAUUCCCAAUUACCCAAAAUUGGUUGAAUCAACACAAUAUAAGCUUACUUAUUAACUGAGUGAUAGAACUUUUUUCAAGAUAGAUAAUUUUAAACAUUUUUAAAAGUAUUAAACAUGUUAUAGCCAAAUUGCAGUGUUUAUGCAUGAAUCCUUAAUGAUAAACAAGGGACUUCAAGAAAACUGUGCUCCUGCUUCUAGCUCUGCUCUCUUGCAAGUGUUGGGAGUAAUUCCAGCACUCUUGUCACACCUGAAGAAAGAAUGUUCCAGUCAGAUGGAAGGGAAUCAUUAGCAAGGGGGUGGGGGCAUAUGGGAGAAGAUAGGGUGAACUUUGGUUGUGAAUAUUAAGCAAU